GCUGGUGUAGCUCAGCAGGCAGAGCGACUGACUUGUAAUCAGUAGGUCGGGGGUUCGAUUCCGUCCACCAGCUCCA
rnacentral:tRNA from 1 species